rnacentral:rRNA from 1 species
CAGGGAAUCUUGCACAAUGGGCGAAAGCCUGAUGCAGCGACGCCGCGUGGGGGAUGAAGGCCUUAGGGUCGUAAACCCCUUUCAGCAGGGACGAAAAUGACGGUACCUGCAGAAGAAGCCCCGGCCAACUACGUGCCAGCAGCCGCGGUAAGACGUAGGGGGCGAGCGUUGUCCGGAUUUAUUGGGCGUAAAGAGCUCGUAGGCGGUUGCGUAAGUCGGAUGUGAAAACUCAGGGCUCAACCCUGAGACGCCAUCCGAUACUGCGCUGACUUGAAUCCAGUAGGGGAGUGUGGAAUUCCUGGUGUAGCGGUGAAAUGCGCAGAUAUCAGGAGGAACACCCAUGGCGAAGGCAGCACUCUGGGCUGGUAUUGACGCUGAGGAGCGAAAGCAUGGGUAGCGAACAGGAUUAGAUACCCGUGUAGUCCCUGAGCGGGCUGGCAAGGCGCAU